UACAGAGGGAGCAAGCGUUGUUCGGAAUUACUGGGCGUAAAGGGCGCGUAGGCGGUUCGAUAAGUCCCGUGUGAAAUCCCUCGGCUCAACUGAGGAAUGGCACGGGAAACUGACGGGCUUGAAUUCGGGAGAGGAUAGCGGAAUUCCCAGUGUAGAGGUGAAAUUCGUAGAUAUUGGGAAGAACACCGGUGGCGAAGGCGGCUAUCUGGACCGACAUUGACGCUGAGGAGCGAAAGCGUGGGGAGCGAACAGG
rnacentral:rRNA from 1 species